rnacentral:rRNA from 1 species
UACGAAGGGGGCUAGCGUUGUUCGGAAUUACUGGGCGUAAAGCGCACGUAGGCGGGUAUUUAAGUCAGGGGUGAAAUCCCAGAGCUCAACUCUGGAACUGCCUUUGAUACUGGGUACCUAGAGUGUGGAAGAGGUGAGUGGAAUUCCGAGUGUAGAGGUGAAAUUCGUAGAUAUUCGGAGGAACACCAGUGGCGAAGGCGGCUCACUGGUCCACUACGGACGCUGAGGUGCGAAAGCGUGGGGAGCAAACAGG